rnacentral:rRNA from 1 species
UACGUAGGGUGCAAGCGUUGUCCGGAAUUAUUGGGCGUAAAGAGUGUGUAGGCGGCCCGAUUAGUCUGCUGUGAAAGUCCAGGGCUCAACCCUGGAAUGCCGGUGGAUACUGUCGGGCUAGAGUCCGGAAGGGGCGAGUGGAAUUCCUGGUGUAGCGGUGAAAUGCGCAGAUAUCAGGAGGAACACCAAUGGCGAAGGCAGCUCGCUGGGACGUGACUGACGCUGAGACGCGAAAGCGUGGGGAGCAAACAGG